CCACUUCUUCGGCCGGCCGCGUGUUGCUGCCGCCACCGUCGUAGACAGCCGCUGGCCCUCCACUGCACUGCACUGCACCGCACCACCGCGGCUUGCUCGCCACCGCACUUGAGGUGGGGGUUGGCGAUCGACUGGUCGAUGCGAGGAUGAUGGACACGCCGUCGACGACGUGCGCGGGGGGCCCCCCCCGCGACGACUUCGGGGACAUCGACGACGUGGAGCGGCGGCGCGGGCACCACCGGCGGGAGGCCUCGUCGGACGUGUCGUCCGAGUGCAGCGGCGAGCCCGGGAGCCCGUACGGCU
rnacentral:lncRNA from 1 species